CCUACGGGAGACAGCAGUGAGGAAUAUUGGUCAAUGGGCUUACGCCUGAACCAGCCAAGUCGCGUGAGGGAAGACUGCCCUAUGGGUUGUAAACCUCUUUUGUCAGGGAGCAACGCCGGCUACGUGUAGCCGGACUGAGAGUACCUGAAGAAAAAGCAUCGGCAAACUCCGUGCCAGCAGCCGCGGUAAUACGAAGGAUGCGAGCGUUAUCCGGAUUUAUUGGGUUUAAGGGGUGCGUAGGCGGAAUGCCAAGUCAGCGGUAAAAUCGCGGGGCUCAACCUCGCUCCGCCGUUGAAACUGGCGUUCUUGAGUGGGCGAGAGGUAUGCGGAAUGCGAGGUGUAGCGGUGAAAUGCAUAGAUAUCACGCAGAACUCCGGUUGCGAAGGCAGCAUACCGGCGCCCAACUGACGCUGAAGCACGAAAGCGUGGGUAGCGAACAGGAUUAGAUACCCCUGUAGUC
rnacentral:rRNA from 1 species